CCUGGCAUACAUUUUACAUUAUGCUCGCAGGUGUCAUGCGGUAAUUAAGGCUGUCAUUCUCGAAGGCUGUCAUAGGAAUUACAUCUAGUAAUUGUGUGUCCAUAAAAUGUUCAAUAACUAAAUAUAUGUUUUAGAAAGAGCUGGCAUUCUCUGCACGAUGCGACCUUCAGAAAUCAUUAGUGGACAGGGUCCUGAUAAUCGGUGCAUAACGAAAACUAAAGCAUUUGACCAAAAAUUAUAUUUUGACACAAACAAUAUACCAGGAGGCUGCCAUUAAGUGAGUUUUCAGUAUACCAGGAGGCUGCCAUUAAAAUACAACAGAUUACACAGAAAAUACAGACUAGGUCUACCUUCCCUCAAUAUUUUCGCACGAUUGUUUCUCAAUAGCUUAUUGGUGACAUGAAGAUAGAUUUUCUAUUAUCCAGUACCGCUAUGAUGAACAGUUUCAAGUUAUUACGUCAGUAUGGGCAACACAAUUCAAUGCUCCUACACAAGUACAAUUCUACAGUCGCUGCUGCACAACUAUCUGAUAUCAAAACCUCUAACCCUAAACCAUUUAAAGAUAUACCAGGACCUACAGGAAUAUACAAUAUACCAAAAAUUGGUGCUAUGUUUUUAUUUAAACCAUUUUCUAACUAUAACCAGGAACGUUUCCAUGAGGUACUGGACAAUGUGUGUGAUAAAUAUGGACCUAUAAUAAAAUUAUCCCUUAUGAAGUCCGCUGUAUUCACCAGCGAUCCCAAUGAUAUAGAAAUCGUCUAUAAAAAUGAAGGCAAAUAUCCAAUUAGACCAGGAUUGGGACUAUUCGAAGUUUAUAUUGAGAGAACUAAAAGACCCAAAAACCUAGGAAUUCUACAUGGCGAAAAAUGGGCUGAGCUUCGGCAUCAAAUACAGAAAAAGUUGGUGCGACCGAAAUCGGCUCUUCAUUACAUAGAAAGACAGUCAGAAGUGGCUACAGAUCUGGUUCAUAAAUUACAGAACACCCAUCCAGACCAGGUCCGAGAACUCUUAUUCCUAUAUGCCACCGAAUAAACGUAAUCACUGGGUGAUAGCAUUGAAUUGUGACCUAUGAUGAUGAGUUGGCGUGCACGUAAAAGAGCCCUUGAGAGUUGGAAUUGGUACUCAAUUGCUGCCUGUGUAAAAUUUCCAUUGGACCUACUGAAUAUUGGAUAUUAUGUAGACAUUUACGGGACUGUAGUGUCAAGUAUGCAGUUGGUUCAGGUUCAGGUUCAAUUUUUAAGCUGGCAUCAGCUAUAUCGGUCGUGUGUUUUGAUAGAAGAUUAGGUAUUUUAAGUGGAGUUGCAACCGAAGAGGUGAAGAAUUAUCUGGACAAUGUCAAGACGUUUUUUGUGUAUGUUAAUAAGGGAAGACUGGGCCUGCCUCUAUAUAAAUACUUUGAGACGCCGAUGUACAAGAAAUUCAAGAAAGCUGCAGAUGAAUCAUAUGGAUUCGGUCGAAUGCAGAUAGAAGAAGCUCUAAAUAAAUGUCUUCAAAUGAAGAAAAAUGGAACUUGGAAUCCAGAAGAACCCAAUUUUUUAAUGUCAUUGUUAGCAGCAGAGACUCUUACAAUAGACCAAAUCACUGGUUUGGUUAUUGAUCUAUUGAUUGCUGGCACUGACUCGACCGCUAAAAAUCUAGAGAAUUUCUUGGACUGUUUGGCGCGUUAUCCAGAAGUUCAGGAAACUCUGUACCAAGAGAUUAUAGAACACAUGGGCCAAAAUGGCGAUUUGACGGCCGAUAAUUUACCGAAGAUGAAAUAUUUAGUAGCUUGCUUGAAGGAAAGUUUCAGAUUACAUUAUCCUAUAUCUUUUGGAACUGUUAGAGCAUUACCUGUAGAUGUUGUAUUAAGUGGUUAUCAUGUACCAAAGGGGACAUUAAUUGGUUUAAAUAAUCGAAGAUUGCUUUUGGACCCCAAAUAUGUAAAAGAUCCAACCUUUUAUAGACCAGAAAGGUGGUUACGAGAUGAGAAAGGUGAAAGAGUUGAUCCUAUUCCUACAGUGGGUUUAACACCAUUCGGUAUUGGAGUUAGAAACUGUGUUGGUAGACGAUUCGCUGAACAAGAAAUUUAUUUAGCAAUUGCUAAGAUUGUUCAGAACUUUAAAGUUAGUCUGACAGGCGAAGUACCGCCACCAAAGAUUAUUUACCAAACAUUUGGAUUCCUUCAACAGAAAUCAAUGUUUAACUUUGAGAAGAGAAAAUGAAAAAAAUGCACACCUACGUUUCUGAGAAAAUCUGAAAAACGAAUCGGCUUAGUAACUGUUGUAUUAUAGAAUAUAUUUUAAAAUAGUAUUGCUUACUAAAAAAAUCCAGCCCUUCGUCCAUAUAUCAAUUGGGAGUUUUGAAUGCCACAUGAUAGUGGCGUUUUCAGUAUAAUUGGUCCAUCGCAGUCUCGUAUGGAUAAACGAUUUUUAAAGUAAGUUGUUGUAUAUUGUAUUGUAUAUAUCGGUAAUUAUUGUUUUAUAACAAGCCUAGCUGAGACAUAAAAUUGUUAGGUGUUGUCUUUUUUAUCACACACUUUUGGCAGAUAAAAUAUUCCAGUUGGUAAACAACUCAACAUGGGAAAUCACAGUCUCACAGAUAUACCUGAAUAUAUACACUACAACCAUCAAGACUUCAAAUCUUAAAAACUAUCGUUGUUUUAGCACAACACGUCCAUAUAAUUAAACUUUUAUUUUUCAAAUAUCCUCCAUUUUUUAAGGGAUUACUUUCAGACUUUUUGUAUGGAGUACCAUCAUAAACAUCAUUUGGAUUAAAUGUUUCGGGUCUGUAUGGAAUAUUGUAAAUACUGCAUCACAAUUUCCUUGAAACUGCUUUUGGUUUUCAGCAAUUUUUUAUAAUGAAUACACAUUGUUAUCAUUUGUAUUACUUCUUAAUUCAAGCCCUUGAAACUUUGUGCUUGGAAUCAUAAAGAUGCACUGACAAUUAAACAUUGGACAUUUUUAGUAAGUUUCAUAGUAAAAUAGUUUGUUAUAAAUUUUAUUCAAUAUUUAUUCAAACUCAACACAUUGUUUAAUCUUAGACUGUACACUAAUAGUCCACUAUUGAAUGUGAAAAGGUCCAGCUGAAUGGUUGAUUGGACAAUAUGAUGUGUUGCAAAUGGUACUCCAUAGAAAUGAAUUUGCUCCACAAAAAUUAUAUCUAGGUAACAAACCCUCAUAAUGCUUAUUAUUCUAACAUAAAUGAAUAAAAAUCUAUCCAAAAUUUAGAAACAAGCCUUUUUAC